rnacentral:rRNA from 1 species
AUUGAACGCUGGCGGCAGGCCUAACACAUGUAAGUCGAACGAGUGGCGGACGGGUGAGUAAUGUCUGGGAAACUGCCCGAUGGAGGGGGAUAACUACUGGACACGGUAGCUAAUACCGCAUACCCUCGGAUGUGCCCAGAUGGGAUUAGCUAGUAGGUGGGGUAACGGCUCACCUAGGCGACGAUCCCUAGCUGGUCUGAGAGGAUGACCAGCCACACUGGAACUGAGACACUGUCCAGACCCCGACGGGAGGCAGCAUGGGGGAAGAUUGCGCGAUGGGCGCAAGCGUGAUGCAGCCAUGCCGCGUGUAUGAAGAAGGCCGUCGGGUUGUAAAGUACUUGCAGCGAGGAGGCGUUACUCGCAGAAGAAGCACUGGCUAACUCCGUGCCAGCAGCCGCGGUAAUU